rnacentral:tRNA from 2 species
GCACUCGUAGUUUAAUGGUAGAAUGGCUGACUUUUAAUCAGUAAGAUGUGGGUUCAAGUCCCAUCGGGUGCA